GGCACUAUAGCCAAGUGGUUACGGCGGAAGAUUUGAAUUUGUAGCCUGAUCGUGUCUCAUGGCACUGAUUAGUCACUAUCUUGUCUCAUCUUCUCCUCUUUGAGGGCGCAGGUUCGAACCCUGCUGGUGUCG
rfam:Cylindrobasidium torrendii FP15055 ss-10 unplaced genomic scaffold CYLTOscaffold_334, whole genome shotgun sequence.